rnacentral:misc_RNA from 1 species
AAUACUUGGGUGAUAUGUUCAUUAGCUGCAGAUUAUUUUCCUGUGAUUAGAAAUCAAGAAGAUAUACUAAAACAUCUGUAAUGACAAGAAGAGCUAAACUGUAUAUAUGUUUCAUUAGCUUUCUAGUAUACACUACUUAUUUUACGUUAAAACUUACUAUAAGUAAAAUUAUUUAAGCUAUAUGAUCGGUUCACUUAGGCUAUGGUUUACUGGUCUAUUUCAGGUAUGCUUUCCAAUACAGGCUUCCGGUAACCUUUAUCUUCUGAUGUAUCGACUGUUUCCACUCUCUGUUGAUCCUGAAGCUGAGAAAUCAUAGAAUCAACUGAAACUCCUUCCUUCUGUAGCAUUUCUUGCAGUUCUUGCUUACUGAUGACCAACUUGAUUCUUACUACUCUGUUUUCUUUCUUAUCUUCAUCUUCUGGAAUUGAAAAUCUUACUUUCUUCUUAGCUUUUGGGGAUGGCAAAGGAAGAGGUACAAGAUAGUACAAGUUACCACCAAGCAAUUUGGUAUCUGGCAGGAGAUGCUGAAAAGCCUGAAGUGAAUCGGAUAUUGCAUGACCAGAAAAAUCUGAUAGAACUUGCUGAACUCUGAUCGGUGCUUUAUAUUCAAGGAUCUUCCCAUCUGGUUUCAUGACCUUGAUAAGCUUUUCCUGCAGGACUAAGCAAUUCCCCAUGGUUUAAUUUCUAUUAGUGAUAGCUUUAGCGCAAAA